rnacentral:ncRNA from 1 species
AUAACCGUAGUAAUUCUAGAGCUAAUACCUGCACCAAGUCCUGAAUAUUUGGAAGGGAUGCAUUUAUUAGAUAAAAGGCCGGUGUGGGCUUGCCUGCUUCUCCAGUGAAUCAUGAUAACUCGACGGAUCGCACAGCCAUUGUGCUGGCGAUGCUUCAUUCAAAUUUCUUCCCUAUCAACUUUAGAUGGUAGGAUAGAGGCCUACCAUGGUGGUGACGGGUGAUGGAGAAUUAGGGUUCGAUUCCGGAGAGGGAGCCUGAGAAAUGGAUACCACAUCCAAGGAAGGCAGCAGGCGUGCAAAUUACCCAAUCCUGACAUGGGGAGGUAGUGACAAUAAAUAACAAUACUAGGCUCAUCGAGUCUGGUAAUUGGAAUGAGUACAAUCUAAAUCCCUUAACGAGGAUCCAUUGGAGGGUUCACUGUCCCCUCCUCU